CGCCUCUUGCAGAAUAUAAGAGGUCCCGCCUGCCCAGUGAAUAUGUUCAACGGCCGCGGUACCCUGACCGUGCGAAGGUAGCGUAAUCAUUUGCCCCCUAAUUAGGGGCUAGUAUGAAAGGCUUCACGAGGGCUAAGCUGUCUCCUUUUUUUGAUCAGUGAAACUAAUCUCCCCGUGAAGAAGCGGGGGUGUAAAUAUAAGACGAGAAGACCCUAUGGAGCUUAAAACGAAGCAACAACUGCAGGCCCCCACCCACCAACCCCCGAGGGUAGCUCGAUGAUUGCUAGUUUUGGGUUGGGGCAACCACGGAGUAAAAUUAAAUCUCCGCGCUGAAAAAGACACGACCUUAAGCAAAAAACUACAACUUUAUGCAUCAACAAAUUGACAACAUUGACCCAAUAACUUGAGCAACGAAACAAGUUACCCUAGGGAUAACAGCGCUAUCUACUUCGGGAGCACAUAUCUACAAGUAGGCUUACGACCUCGAUGUUGGAUCAGGGUAUCCUAGUGGUGUAGCAGCUACUUAGGGUUCGUUUGUUCAACGAUUAAAACCCU
rnacentral:rRNA from 1 species